rnacentral:pre_miRNA from 1 species
UAAAUGACUCAUGAUAAAGUUUGGGUUAAAUAACCCAUCAUUCAAUCACAUGGGAGAUAAGUGAGUUGAAAUUUCUAUAUUUUAUUUAUUAAUUUAUUUCUAACUCAUUUUGGAUGAUGGGUUAUUUAACCCAAACUUUAUUAUGGGUCAUUUA